ACUUUUAGAUCUAUCAAGCAUGUUCUUCUCUACAGAAUCGAUAGAUUCAAUAGGCAAUUUACAAUCUUUGAAAUAUUUGGAUUUAUCAUGGACUUCUUUUCCUGGAGGGUGGCCUAAGACUAUCACGAAUUUAUCAUCUUUGGAGCAUUUGGAUGCAUCAGACUCAUCUUUCUCAGGAGCAUUGCCCAACUCAAUCGGGAAUCUAGUGUCCUUGGAGUAUUUAAAUCUUCAAUCAUCCAACUUGUCAGGAUCAAUUCCGAUAUCAUUGGGAAACCUCUCACAACUCAAUCAUUUAGAUUUGUCAUGGAACUAUUUUAGUGGACAAAUUCCAUCCUCACUUACAAACCUAAGACAACUCAAUCAUUUAGAUUUGUCAUGGAACUAUUUUAGUGAACAAAUUCCAUCCUCACUUACAAACCUAAGACAACUUGAAUUCUUUUCCCUUUUUUAUAACCAACUAGAGGGUUCCAUUCCUGAUGAGGUGAAUGCCUUUCCUAAUCUAAUCUCUCUAGACUUAUCUUCUAAUUUACUCAAUGGAACACUUCCCUCAUGGUUGUAUACAGUUUCCACAUUGAAGCACAUAUAUCUCAACGAUAACAAGCUCAGUGGUGAUAUCAAGGAAUUCCAGUGCAAAUCACUAGAACAGAUCCGUUUUGGGAAUAAUAAACUCAAAGGUCCUAUUCCAUCUUCAAUAUUCCAACUUGUGAAUCUUACUACAGUUGACUUUUCACAUCUAAGUGGGUUUGUACAGAUUAACAUGUUCUCAAAACUCCAAAAUCUCCAGUACCUUGAUCUUUCAUAUAGCAGUCUAUCCUUAAACUCUAAUGGUACUAGUGCUGAUUAUGUGUUUCCUAAUCUUCAGUAUUUGUACUUGUCUUCUUGCAAUGUCAAUGAAUUUCCCCAAUUUUUAAAAGGUUCAAAAAGUUUGCAACAUUUAGACCUUUCCAACAAUAAAAUUUAUGGCAAGAUUCCUAAGUGGAUGUGGGAUGUGGGGAAGGACUCUUUGACAUUCUUGAACUUAACUCACAACAAUUUGACGGAUUUUGAACAAAUUCCAUGGAAGGGAAUUGAAAUUCUUGACCUUAGCUCCAAUUUCAUUCAUGGAGAUCUUCCGAUUCCACCUUCAACAACAUCUGUCUUUCUUAUCUCAAAUAAUAAUUUGAGCGGUGAGCUCCCUUCUCUGCUAUGCAAUGCAAAUUCCUUUGAAUUUCUUGACUUGUCUCGCAACAACUUGAGUGGAAUUAUUCCACAAUGUUUUGGAAACUUAAGCCGAAGCCUUUCAGUGUUGAAUCUACAAAGGAACAACUUCUGUGGACUCAUUCCUUCGGUUUUUACAAAGGGAUGUCACUUGAAUUAUCUCAACUUAAAUGGCAAUCAAUUAGAAGGGCCUUUACCACAAGACAUCAUUAAUUGUGGAGGUUUGGAAGUGCUAAAUCUUGGUAACAACAAGAUCAAUGAUACAUUUCCUCAUUGGUUGGAAAGUCUUACACAACUACAAGUUCUUGUGCUGCAUUCGAAUCAAUUGCAUGGUUCCUUUCAAGAUCCGUGGUCCAAUCAUUCUUUCUCUAAAAUUCAAAUUUUUGAUCUGUCGAAUAAUUAUUUUACUGGUCCACUUCCCGUUAAAUAUAUAAAAAAUUUCAAGGCUAUGAUAAAUCUCUCAAAAGAUAAAAGUGCAAGGUCGUACAUGGGAGAGUAUGUUCCUUCUGCUUUGGCUAACUUCUAUAGCUAUUCUAUUGAAAUUGCAAUAAAAGGAGUAGAGAUUGAAUUGGAGAAAAUAUUCAUCGCGUUGACGAGCAUUGACCUCUCAAACAAUGAGUUUCAAGGUGAGAUUCCAAAGGUUAUUGGAGAGCUUGACUCACUCAAAGGGCUAAACCUUUCUCAUAAUAACCUUAGUGGUUGUAUCCCCACAUCAAUGGGGAAUUUGACAGCACUUGAGUCACUGGAUCUCUCUUCGAAUAAGCUUGUUGGGAAGAUUCCUACACAGUUGAAUAGUUUGGAUUUUCUUGAAGUGUUAAACCUUUCACAAAAUCAGCUCGUUGGACCUAUACCUCAGGGAAAACAAUUCGAUACCUUUGGCAGGGAUUCCUACGCUGGUAACUUGGGACUGUGUGGGUUUCUAUUAUCAAGGAGCUGUGACAACACUGAGGCACCCUUUUUUCAUGACAGCACUGAGGCACUCAUUUUUCAUGUGGAAGCAGAUUCUGAAUCUGGAUUUGUGUGGAAAGCGACAUUCAUGGGUUAUGGAAGUGGACUAGUGUUGGGAAUAUCUGCAGCAUAUAUCAUGUUCACACUUGGAAGACCCAAAUGGCUUGUGAGGAUGGUUGAAGAAGUAGGCUACAAAUUGAAGAGAUACCUCAGAGGACGAAGGAAUUUGUAAAUUAGUAAGAAGCCCUCAUCUGUCACUGGUGGAUAGAAUGGCUUGUGUUCCUUUUAUGUUCAAUAUGAUUUUCGUUUCUUGACUGUGUUUUGUUUUGUCUUGCGCCCUGACUUUUCUUCCAGGGGUUGUAUCAUGUUUUCAAGUUGUUUGUUACAGGGGAUGCCCUGUUUUUGAUCUGGUAUGUUGCUUGGCUGUUGCUUAUAGCCAUCCAAAUGCUUGUUCUCUUUUGUUUUAUUCACCAAUGAUUAUUCCUGGUUGAUAAUGAAUUCUAUUGAAGCAGACUUUGUUUUUUUUUUCUUCCUAGAAUAAAUUUUCUUUCAUACUAAUGAAAUUGUAAGACUGUUAUGGAUGCUAUAUGGAAUUUAAAGAUGAAUUUUCUAUCCCUUUUACAAAUGUUGACAUGAAAUUUUAGUUGAAUUCACCAUGCUUAAAUAACUUUUUUUUUUUUUUUUAACGUUUGAAGGCAGCACUCAGGGAGGAUAACAUUGACACUCGGCUACCUUCUCAAUCAAGUCAAGCAAGCAAAAAGAAAUCUGUGUUACUAGCUAAAGGCAUCUGGGCUGGCAAUUCGUUCAUCACAAACAAAUUUUUCUUUACUUUGCUGAAUCAAAGAUUUUGCUUGUAUAUAUAUGUAUAUAUAUAUAACUGAGCUUUACAUAUAUGUAUAUAUAUAUGUAUAUAUGUAUAUUGAAGAACUGAGCUUUGCUUUUUAAGCUUCAGGUGCUUAAACUAUCCAGUUGCCAACUUGGCUUAACCUUGAACAUGCCUUGGACCAUGUUGAGAACAACAGUAUACGUAGUUACAAAAUCUAGUUACCAUGCCUUCACACUUACAACUUUGACUGGUCAUUACCAAUGGAGCCAAAACUUUCCUAUAAUUUCAGUUGUUCAUAAUAAAAGUCUUGUUCUUUUCAAUUUCAAUUCAUAAUUCAACCUUGUGCUAGUAUUCAGUUGGACUGGAGUUGUUCUAAUGCCCAAUUCAGGUCAUAUUUUCUACCUACUUUAGUUUAAGGAGAGAACUGUAAUUCUAAAGUCUAUGGGGGCAGAUUUUGUCAUUUCUGCUCCUCUUACUUCCCACUUGCAGCAAGCAAAUCUUUCCUUCACCAACCAGACUUCUCCCAAAAACCCCCCGGCUUGGAGUAAUGAAGAGACCGAAGAGACCACCCUUCCAUGGGAAUUCUCUUCAUCCCAAUAAAACCUGAAACUCCCUUCUUUUUCUCUUUCUCCUCUUUCAUAUUUUGUUUAAGCAAGUUUCAAUCUUUUUUCUUUCCUUUUUUCUUUUGUAGAUUAUUGAAUUAUUCUUGUUGAUGAGAAUGGCGCUUGAAUCCUCAAUUCUCAGCCAACCCACUUUCUGUUCUUCAAGAAGGUCCUCGCCUUUCAUGCUUUUUAAUCGAAAUUUGAAGUACCCAUAAAAGUUUUUAUCCAAAACUAAUCACUACCCAGCUCCUAUUAUCUCCAGCUUUUCCAAUCCCGAGGUUUUCAAAGCCUUUGGAUUGCGAAAAACUGGAAUUUUUGGAAGUCAGGCACGUCUGGGAUUGUUAAGUGAAGACAAUGAAGAUGUGGGAAAUAAUCAGAAUCUGAUUUUGGUGAAAAGGGGAAUUUUGGUGGCAAUGGUUUGCAGUGUAUUGGUCUUUGGUUGUAAAAGAGUGUUUGCUGUUGAGGGAGUGGUUAAUGCUGGCUAUGGGGUGAUUGAGCAUUGCAUAUUGUUGUUGAGGAACGCUUGGCCUAAGUUAUCUAUGCUUCUUAAAGCUAAUCUUUCAUCUUCUUCUUCUUCAAUUACACAGUUGUGCUCUCCUGAAGAAGCUGCUGCAUUGAUCCAAUUCAAGAUCUCUUUUUCAAUCAGUGAAUAUUCAUAUUGGGAAUGCGGUGAAUCUUUUCCUAUGACAAAUUCAUGGAAGGAGGGUUCAGAUUGCUGCUCAUGGGAUGGGGUCACUUGUGAUAACAUCAAAGGUCAAGUUAUUGGCCUUGACUUGAGUUGCAGUCAGCUAAAUGGCAGCAUCCCUUUCAAUAACAGUCUCUUCCAUCUUCCACACCUACAGAAACCCAACCUAGCCUUCAACUACUUUAACUCUGCCAAGAUGUCAUCUAAGUUUGGUGGGUUUGCAAGUCUAAUGUAUCUCAAUCUCUCUUAUUCAAACUUUGAAGGACAAGUCCCAUCCCAAGUCUCCCACUUGUAGAAAUUGGUUUCACUUGAUCUCUCUGGGAAUUAUUAUUAACCACAUGACAGACAUACUGUGGAAGGACUUGUUCAGAACCUAACAGAGGUGAGACACCUUUUUCUUGACAGUAUCGAUAUGCCUUGAUGAAUCUACCCUCAUCUUUAAGGACUCUUAAUCUCAAGUACUGUGAUUUGCGAGGAAAAUUCCCAAAAAACAUUUUUCACCUGCCUAACCUCAAGUCCCUCUAUUUAGGAUACAACGAAAACCUUGCUCUCUAUUUAGAUCUAUCAGGAAUGUCCUUCUCAACAAAAUCGAUAGAUUCGACGAUCGGCAAUUUACAAUCUUUGAAAUAUUUGGAUUUAUCAUGGACUUCUUUUCUUGGAGGGUUGCCUGAGUCUAUCACGAAUUUAUCAUCUUUGGAGCAUUUGGAUGCAUCAGACUCAUCUUUCUCAGGAGGACUGCCCAACUCAAUCGGGAAUCUAGUGUCCUUGGAGUAUUUAAGUCUUUCAUCACCCAAUUUAUCAGGAUCAAUUUUGAUAUCAUUGGGAAACCUCUCACAACUCAAUUAUUUAGAUUUGUCAUGGAACUAUUUUAGU
rnacentral:lncRNA from 1 species